rnacentral:rRNA from 1 species
UACAGAGGUCCCAAGCGUUGUUCGGAUUCACUGGGCGUAAAGGGUGCGUAGGCGGUCGGGUAAGUCUGAUGUGAAAUCUCACAGCUUAACUGUGAAACUGCAUUGGAUACUAUCCGGCUAGAGGAAUGGAGGGGAGACUGGAAUACUUGGUGUAGCAGUGAAAUGCGUAGAUAUCGUAAGGAAGACCAGUGGCGAAGGCGGCCAUCUGGAUCAACACUGACGCUGAGGCACGAAAGCGUGGGGAGCAAACAGG